rnacentral:rRNA from 1 species
UGGGGAAUAUUGCACAAUGGGGGAAACCCUGAUGCAGCGACGCCGCGUGAGCGAUGAAGGCUUUCGAGUCGUAAAGCUCUGUCCUAUGGGAAGAUAAUGACGGUACCAUAGAAGAAAGCCCCGGCUAAUUACGUGCCAGCAGCCGCGGUAAUACGUAAGGGGCGAGCGUUGUCCGGAAUUAUUGGGCGUAAAGAGUGCGUACGCGGCAAAUUAAGUCAGAUGUGAAAACUAAGGGCUCAACCCAUAGAUUGCAUCUGAAACUGAUAUGCUUGAGUCAAGGAGAGGAAAGUGGAAUUCCUAGUGUAGCGGUGGAAUGCGUAGAUAUUAGGAGGAAUACCGGUGGCGAAGGCGACUUUCUGGACUUGAACUGACGCUGAGGCACGAAAGCGUGGGGAGCAAACAGG